GGACAAUCCAGUUCCAGGCCAUUUCUUGGCUUACGUGGUAUUAAAAAUAAUAAAAUAAUAAAAUAAUAAAAAUAAUAAAAGGUCAAAAAUUCUAGAAACUUAAAAAAUCCAACAAAAUUGCUUUCCCCAAUUGGAAACCCACCACCCACAGAAUACGUUUCGGCGAAAUCAAAAUCCACACCUCACCAUCUCCAGUUGCAUGUAAAUCGGAAGUACACCGUUCCUCUGACAGCACUUCCAUCUACUAUUUUUCGCCUUUUGAAGAUUUUGGAUCUUCAGACGCAUCUCAGUCGACAUUCUUGCCUCCAGUUCAAGUACUCUUACAUCCAUGGUUUCGCCGUCUCAUGCUAGAGCAUCUCCGGCUGGUAGCUAAAUAGCACCAGAUUUAUUGACCUGGAGGAGUUGAAAUUUUGUCAUUUUUGUUGGAGAAUUUUAGCCUAGAUCGUUGAGAAUCAAUGUUUACUUCUAUUUUUUUUUCACAUGUAUCUUCGAUAUUUAUUUUAGCCUAGUUCAUUGAGAAUCAAUAUUUAUCUGUUUUUAGCCUAGUUCAUUG
rnacentral:lncRNA from 1 species